rnacentral:rRNA from 1 species
UACGUAGGGUGCAAGCGUUAAUCGGAAUUACUGGGCGUAAAGCGUGCGCAGGCGGUUCGCUAAGACAGAUGUGAAAUCCCCGGGCUUAACCUGGGAACUGCAUUUGUGACUGGCGGGCUAGAGUAUGGCAGAGGGGGGUAGAAUUCCACGUGUAGCAGUGAAAUGCGUAGAGAUGUGGAGGAAUACCGAUGGCGAAGGCAGCCCCCUGGGCCUGCACUGACGCUCAUGCACGAAAGCGUGGGGAGCAAACAGG